GAUGAACGCUGGCGGCGUGCCUAAUACAUGCAAGUAGAACGCUGAAGGAGGAGCUUGCUCUUCUGGAUGAGUUGCGAACGGGUGAGUAACGCGUAGGUAACCUGCCUGGUAGCGGGGGAUAACUAUUGGAAACGAUAGCUAAUACCGCAUGACAACAGUUAUUGCAUGAUAACUGUUUAAAAGGGGCAACUGCUCCACUACCAGAUGGACCUGCGUUGUAUUAGCUAGUUGGUGAGGUAACGGCUCACCAAGGCGACGAUACAUAGCCGACCUGUGAGGGGGAUCGGCCACACUGGGACUGAGACACGGCCCAGACUCCUACGGGAGGCAGCAGUAGGGAAUCUUCGGCAAUGGACGGAAGUCUGACCGAGCAACGCCGCGUGAGUGAAGAAGGUUUUCGGAUCGUAAAGCUCUGUUGUAAGAGAAGAACGAGUGUGAGAGUGGAAAGUUCACACUGUGACGGUAUCUUACCAGAAAGGGACGGCUAACUACGUG
rnacentral:rRNA from 1 species